rnacentral:piRNA from 1 species
UAAGUUUCAGGGUCUCUG